CCCUGAGUGGUGCAAUUGGUAGCAUUCCAAAAUGGAGGGGAUCCGGGUUCGAAUCCCGGCUCGGGCA
rnacentral:tRNA from 1 species